rnacentral:misc_RNA from 1 species
UACGUAGGUGGCAAGCGUUGUCCGGAUUUACUGGGCGUAAAGAGUAUGUAGGCGGAUGCUUAAGUAGGAAGUGAAAGGUUGGAGCUCAACUCUAACACUGCUCCCUAUACUGGGUAUCUUGAAGGCCGGAGAGGAAAGCGGAACGACACGUGUAGCGGUGAAAUGCGUUGAUAUGUGUCGGAACACCAAUGGCGAAGGCAGCUUUCUGGACGGUGAGCUUAGCUCUUAAAUUUGACGCUGAGAUACGAAAGCGUG